rnacentral:rRNA from 1 species
AUGAGCUCCACUGAGGUCGCCAGCGGUGAGUGCAAGAAGAUGUCGUGGCCGGAGGUGGUCGGGCUGACCAUCAAGGAGGCCAAGGAGAUCAUCCUCAAGGACAAGCCUGACGCAGACAUCAUCGUCGUGCCGGUUGGCUCAGCGGUGACUGAAGACUUCAGGCCGAACCGCGUCCGCAUCUUCGUCGGCACUGUCGCCGAGACCCCCCACGUUCGCUAG